AUUGAACGCUGGCGGCAGGCUUAACACAUGCAAGUCGAGCGGGGACUUCGGUCCUAGCGGCGAACGGGUGAGGAAUGCUUGGGAAUCUGCCUUGUAGUGGGGGAUAACGUUUCGAAAGGAACGCUAAUACCGCAUACGUCCUACGGGAGAAAGGGGGAGAUCUUCGGACCUCUCGCUAUAAGAUGAGCCCAAGUCGGAUUAGCUAGUUGGUGGGGUAAAGGCUCACCAAGGCGACGAUCCGUAGCUGGUCGGAGAGGAUGAUCAGCCACACUGGAACUGAGACACGGUCCAGACUCCUACGGGAGGCAGCAGUGGGGAAUAUUGGACAAUGGGCGAAAGCCUGAUCCAGCCAUGCCGCGUGUGUGAAGAAGGCCUUCGGGUUGUAAAGCACUUUAAGCGAGGAGGAAUGGCUCUGGGUUAAUACCCUUGAGCAGUGACGUUACUCGCAGAAUAAGCACCGGCUAACUCUGUGCCAGCCGCCGCCGUAA
rnacentral:rRNA from 1 species